rnacentral:rRNA from 1 species
CCUACGGGAGGCAGCAGUAAGGAAUAUUGGUCAAUGGGCGGAAGCCUGAACCAGCCAUGCCGCGUGCAGGAAGACUGCCCUACGGGUUGUAAACUGCUUUUGUACCGGAAUAAACCUUGAUACGUGUAUCAAGCUGAAUGUACGGUAAGAAUAAGGAUCGGCUAACUCCGUGCCAGCAGCCGCGGUAAUACGGAGGAUCCAAGCGUUAUCCGGAUUUAUUGGGUUUAAAGGGUGCGUAGGUGGCUUUUUAAGUCAGGGGUGAAAGACGGUAGCUUAACUAUCGCAGUGCCUUUGAUACUGAAGAGCUUGAAUGAACUAGAGGUAGGCGGAAUGUGACAAGUAGCGGUGAAAUGCAUAGAUAUGUCACAGAACACCAAUUGCGAAGGCAGCUUACUAUGGUUUAAUUGACACUGAGGCACGAAAGCGUGGGGAUCAAACAGGAUUAGAUACCCUGGUAGUCCACGCCCUAAACGAUGAAUACUCGAUGUUGGCGAUAUACGGUCAGCGUCUAAGCGAAAGCGUUAAGUAUUCCACCUGGGGAGUACGCCGCAAGGGUGAAACUUAAGGAAUUGACGGCGNGAGAGNGCGAGACGACGACGAGGGAGAGG